GACCGAGGGUGCAAACGUUGCUCGGAAUCACUGGGCGUAAAGGGCGUGUAGGCGGGUAGAUAAGUCGGGCGUGAAAUCCCUGGGCUCAACCCAGGAACUGCACUCGAAACUGUUUUUCUUGAGUGUCGGAGAGGAAAGCGGAAUUCCUGGUGUAGAGGUGAAAUUCGUAGAUAUCAGGAGGAACACCAGCGGCGAAGGCGGCUUUCUGGACGAUAACUGACGCUGAGACGCGAAAGCGUGGGGAGCAAACAGG
rnacentral:rRNA from 1 species